rnacentral:rRNA from 1 species
GUCGUCAGCUCGUGUCGUGAGAUGUUGGGUUAAGUCCCGCAACGAGCGCAACCCUUGUCCUUAGUUGCCAGCAUUCAGUUGGGCACUCUAAGGAGACUGCCGGUGUUAAACCGGAGGAAGGUGGGGAUGACGUCAAGUCCUCAUGGCCCUUAUGUCCAGGGCUACACACGUGCUACAAUGGCCGGUACAAAGGGCUGCAAGACCGUGAGGUUGAGCGAAUCCCAGAAAGCCGGUCUCAGUUCGGAUUGGAGUCUGCAACUCGACUCCAUGAAGUUGGAAUCGCUAGUAAUCGCGGAUCAGCAUGCCGCGGUGAAUACGUUCCCGGGCCUU